rnacentral:rRNA from 1 species
UAGAGUUUGAUCCUGGCUCAGAGCGAACGCUGGCGGCAGGCUUAACACAUGCAAGUCGAGCGGGUGUAGCAAUACAUCAGCGGCAGACGGGUGAGUAACGCGUGGGAACGUACCUUUUGGUUCGGAACAACACAGGGAAACUUGUGCUAAUACCGGUUAAGCCCUUACGGGGAAAGAUUUAUCGCCGAAAGAUCGGCCCGCGUCUGAUUAGCUAGUUGGUGAGGUAAUGGCUCACCAAGGCGACGAUCAGUAGCUGGUCUGAGAGGAUGAUCAGCCACAUUGGGACUGAGACACGGCCCAAACUCCUACGGGAGGCAGCAGUGGGGAAUAUUGGACAAUGGGGGCAACCCUGAUCCAGCCAUGCCGCGUGAGUGAUGAAGGCCCUAGGGUUGUAAAGCUCUUUUGUGCGGGAAGAUAAUGACGGUACCGCAAGAAUAAGCCCCGGCUAACUUCGUGCCAGCAGCCCCGGUCAA